UACAGAGGUCUCAAGCGUUGUUCGGAUUCAUUGGGCGUAAAGGGUGCGUAGGUGGCGCCGUAAGUCAGGUGUGAAAUUUCGGAGCUUAACUCCGAAACUGCAUUUGAUACUGCGGUGCUUUGAGGACUGGAGAGGAGACUGGAAUUUACGGUGUAGCAGUGAAAUGCGUAGAGAUCGUAAGGAAGACCAGUGGCGAAGGCGGGUCUCUGGGACGGUACUGACGCUGGAGACGGCGAAAAGCGUGGGGAGCGAACAGG
rnacentral:rRNA from 1 species